AUCUUUUUGUAUGCUGUACUGACAGUCAUCAACAUGGAAGAUAUGUUUUGUUCCUAACCAUCUGUAAUCAAUUCUCUAUGAAGUUCAGACUGUCUGCUCUUCCUUUGGAAAUACACAGUUAGUCAAUCAACAUAGAAACACACAAACUUGAAGGAUUCUCUAGUGAGAGGUUAUGGAAAUGAUCUAUGUCUACUGUUAGAAUGGUGAAAGACUCUCAGAUUAUGCAAAGACUAACAGAAUAUCCUCUCUUGGAACACUGAAACAAGAAAACCAAACUUAAGAGGAUGGAGGAUUUAAGAAGAACAUAAAUAUGAUUUCCAUCGAAUUUAACCAGUACGAUCAUAGACUGUGGUUUAUAGAGGAUGACAAAGAAAGGACCCAGGAUUGUAUGUUUCACUGUCAGACACUGACUAUGGAUAAAGUGUAAUCAUUUAUCAAACUGAGAUCUAGUCAAAUCAAGUACUGAAAAUAUGAUUUUCUGAUAGCAUGAGCUCUUUAAAAACUAUUUCUCACGGACCUCAAAGUAUCUGAAUGUGACUUUUAUUUUUACCAAUUCAUAUUGAAGACUGUUGUUAUGUAUGGGAAUUACACAUUUAAACCUUUUAUUUUUCAUCUAAUUUUUACAACCCCCUAGAAAUUACACAGAUAUCCAGAUGCUGGAUUUAAUGGUAUUAUUUAACUUUCCUGGAAUUGUAAAUAUAUUUUGUUUGUGUAUGUAUCAUGUUUAAUGUUGAAUUUAAAAUUUGUCUCAAUAGGACCCCCAUAAAGAUGUAAGUGUCCCAUAAUCUGUGAUGCAAUAAUAUCUUGAAUAUUUGUUGUCAUUCCAUAUACUUCAUACUUACUACAUAAAUACUGAUUGGAGGAAUACACUUUGUUGUUUGGGACACUUUAUCAAGGUCAAAGCAUGAGAUUAUUGAGAAGACUACUUUGACAAUAAUUUGUAACUUACAAACUUCACAUCGUAAGUACAUAAAUGAAGAAUGAAUAGGAUGAAUAAGAGAUUUCUUAAGAAAUCUUGGAUCAUGUUUCUCCUGAAUAAAAACCAGUUACUGAGAUAACUGAUAUGAGUCUUGCAAUAACUUCAACAUUUUGUAAUAAGUAUAGAAAAUAUGAUUUUCUGAUAGCAUGGGCUCUUUAAAAAUUAAUUCUCACGGACUUCAGAGUAUUUAAAUGUGACUUUUAUUUUUGGCCAAUU